UACAGAGGUCUCGAGCGUUGUUCGGAUUCAUUGGGCGUAAAGGGCGCGUAGGCGGCGGGGUAAGACUGGUGUGAAAUCUCGGAGCUCAACUCCGAAAUUGCACUGGAUACUGCUCUGCUAGAGGGCUGGAGAGGAGAUCGGAAUUCACGGUGUAGCAGUGAAAUGCGUAGAUAUCGUGAGGAAGACCAGUGGCGAAGGCGGAUCUCUGGACAGCUCCUGACGCUGAGGCGCGAAGGCUAGGGGAGCAAACGGG
rnacentral:rRNA from 1 species